UCUGUUUCCUGAUACUGUGAUACUGUAAAAACCUCAGAUGCAUCUUCCAGGUGGGCAAAAAUUGGCACAAAAUAAUGUCUCACCUCUCUGGAUUUCCUACUUCUCCUGGGUGUUGGCUUGGUAAUGCUUCACAAUCUUAUUUACUUUUUUAUGCUUUCAAGCUGACUUUUAUUAUUAAUUUUUCAAAUAUAUUUUUUCUAGCUUUCCUAAUUGUCCUCAGUCAUAAGGUUCAUCUUCCAUUACUAGAGGCACAGUCUCAAGCUAAUAUAAUUUAUAAACUAGUCGCCUAUAUAUAAACCUCAGGGCCUGGUUAUACACUGGCUAGGAGAACAAUAUCUGAAAUGCCACCUUUCUCAGAUAUUGGCCUAUUAUCUGUUCUUUGGUGAUUACUUCAUUUCACUCUGACAGCCACUUCCUGUCUUUCUCCUCCCAACUCCUGACUGAGCCAUACUUGUGAUGCUGAAUGCUCUUCGCAUUAUGUGACCUGAGCUAGAAGAGAAAAAAGAUAUCUAUUCAUCAUCAGCCUUCCUCUUCAGUUAUACACACACACACACGCACGUGUGUGUGUGGUGUGUGUGUGUGUGUGUGUGUGUGAAUAUGUUUUGAUGAAUGGCCAAGAAGGAAGGUGUGUUUGGAAAAUAUAUAACUUGGGAUCCUGAAAACCAAGUCAUUUUCUCUUUUUAGAACAUAUGUGACAUCUUCAGAAUCAAACGUGCUCUUUUUGUGAGGUUCAGCUAAAGAUUCAGUGUCUUUUCAACAUGCUUCUGAUGGAGUUGAAAGUUGGCAUAUCAAUCUGUGAGUACUUGAAAAAGAGGCUUUCUUAAUUUCCUUGGCUAAAAUUCCUUAAAUACAUGAAGAAGGUUUUUUUAAAAAUAAACUUUAUUGAAAUAUAAAAUAAAUAUAGGAAGCUGCACAUAUGAGUGUACAGCUGAAUAAAUUUCGGUAAAGUUAUCACGUCCAUGUAACCAGGACCCAAAAACAGAACUAGAUCAUUACCAGCACCUGAGAUGCCUCUUUCAUGUCCCCUUCUAGUCACUAACCCCUCAAGGGUAAUCACUAUCCUGAUCUCACACUAUGGAUUAAUUCUGUCUGUUUUUGACCUUUACAUAUAGAAUCAUUUAGUAUACAUUCUUGUGACUGAUUGUUUGGUUCCUUUCUCUCAACAUUGUGUUUGUGGGAUGCGUUAAUAUUAUUGCAUGCAGUUGUAAAUCAUUCAUUCCUGUUUUUUGUAUAAUAAUCCAUUGCAUGAAUAUACCAUGACUUAUUUAUCCAUUCUACUGUUGAUGGACGUGGGGAUUCUCACCAUUUUACUAACAGUGCUGUUACAAAAAUACUUGUGCAUUCUUGUUACCUUUUAGUAGACACAGACAUCAGAAAGAUUCUUAACCUUUCAUCUUCUAAGUCUACCCUGUUCAUCAGGACUUUGACCCAGAUUCUCAUCCUCAAUCUCUUCAUUUGGACCACAUACAGAUGAAGACUCUGAGAUGAUUUCCAUGAACUGCUCUUCGGAUAAGAUGGGAGCAUUUUGUCCAGAUGACUAUGGUCUUUUGCCUGACCCAUAUCUCUAGAAUCUAGUGGUUGAAUCGGAUGAGUCUGAUAAAAUGGAGGAAAGACCUCACUGGUAGAGCACCUUAGUUUAGCUUGUUCUGAUUUCUGAACAUUAUUUUGUGGUUCCAUCUGGUGAACCAAAUUAUAUCUACUACCCACUGUAGAUUGAAAUUAAUUCUUCCUAGAAAUUAAUUCUUCCAUGUCUCAAUUGAAUCUUUUAAGAAUGAGAGAUAAGCCUGUUUUUUGAAAAAAAAAUAAAAUAUACAGUCCCUUAUGAGAAUAUUAUUACAAUUCUAUUAGUUAAUCACAUUCUGUGAGCAUUCAUAAAAGAAGGGAUGUCUGGUCAUGGAACCUUCAAAAAGAUAGAAAAACUGUCCAUACAAUAGAGCAAAAGAUGCUUAAAGCAGGGUAUUCUAACCAAUGUGAGUUAUUGUCAUAUAUGCCUCAAAGCUAAACAGAUGGCGAAUGUGGGAAUUAGAGUAAAAUUACUCAUUCACUCUGAAAAAUCCACUUGAGCGUAUUCUAUUUGCUACUCUCUGUGUUAAUACAAUUUACAUUAAGUUAUAUUAAAUUAAAUGUUAAUUAUAUAACAUAGUACCGUCAUAACAUGAUCUACUAUAAUUCCAGAGAGUGAUAAGAGCUAGAGAGAAUAAAUCAAUGUAAGGAGAAGAAUGGGAGCAAGAUGUUAUUUUAGAUGGGGGUGUGUGUGUCAGGAAAUCACUUUGAGUCAGUGACACAUGCAAAGACCUGAGUGAAGUGAGGGAGCAAACAUCGCAUUGAUCUGGUGGACAGUAUUCUGGAAAGGGAUAUUUGCAAGACCAAAGGCUCUGAGAGGGGAACAAGAUUGGCAGAUUCAAGGAGGAGCAAAAGGGACAGUGUGGCUGGAGUAUAGUGAGCAAGGGAGAUGAGGAGAGGAGGUCAGAUAAUAGAGGAAAAGGAAGACAGGGGCUGGAAGGAAUUUGAAUUUUAUUUCCAGGGUGAUGGCAUUCCACUGGAUCUUAAGUGGGGGUGGGGAGUGUGUGGUUUGAUUUGACAUAUGGUUUGGAAAGAUCAAUUUGGCUGCUGCACAGAGAAUGGAUUAUAGGCAUUAAGAAUGGGAGCAAGGCAGUAUCCUCUGAGAAUCUUAUUGAUUCUCUGAGAUUGGGGGGUGGGAGAAAGAAGUGAGGUGAAGGCUGCUACAGGGACAAGUAGGAAAUUGUUCCCAAGGAAGAAAGGGGUCCACCUAAGUGAGCCAAUUGCCAGACUUUCAGUUUGAUAAGAUAUCAGAGGAACCACUACAUUUUACUCCUUUAUUUUACAGAUGAGAAAACUAAGGCUCAGAGAGCCUAAGUAACUUUCCUAAGGAGAAGAUGUGAUAACCACAUUAAAAACAAGAGGGAAUUUGGAGAAAGAUAACUUCUGCCACUAAGUCAAACUAUUCAUAUGGAAUAAAGUGAAAUUAUUGGAAAGAGUUACAGACAUUUGGAAAUUGAGAGCUGAAUCUCUCUCUCUUUUUUAUUUUUGAGAACUGAAACUUUGGCAAAACAAAAUGCCCAGCUCAUUAUCUUGAGCUGUGCUUUAGGAAAGCAAUAUUGACUCUGAACUCUUUAUUGACAAAGUCCAAACCUUAUUAGUUUUCCUAAAACUAUUGUGAGCAAUACCUGGCAUAUGGCAGGUGCACAAUAAAUAUUUUCGGAAUGAUUAUAUGAUAAAACUGGGUGUCAGAAUUCUGAAAGGUUGUAUAAAAGGGGAGAAAGAAAAAGCACCUGCCCUGUACUUAGCACUGUGGUAAUAUUGAAAAAGAACAUUAAAGCAUUAGUCAGCAUCCUUUGGAUUGUGAGUGACAAAGAGUCAGUUCAGACUGAUUUAAGAAUAAGAAAACAUUCAUCGGCCAAUGUAAUAAAGUCUAGGGGGGUAGUUCAGUCCAGGUGUGGCUGGAUCCAGGGCUUAUAUGGCCUUUGAAGAAUUCUCUCUGUCUCUCUCUUUCUAUUUACUUGCUCAUCUUUCCUUCACAAUUAACUUCAUUCUCAAGUUGGCUUUCUUCACAUGGAGGUCCCCUACAGUUAUAAGCUUACAUCUCCUAGUUUAUUAACACCAACAGAAAGAGUUUCCUUUUCUCAAAUUGUUCCAUAAAAAGUCUUCAGGGGCCGGGCCAGUCAGCUCAUGUGAACAUGGGCUGAGAGUGGAGGGGCGAGUGGUUCCCAAAGGAAGAACAAGGAAUGAUUAGCAGAAGUUGGUAGAGUGGAUAUUGGCAGGUGAAACAGCAGAAAUCUACUACCCAAGCACAAGAAGAAAAGGGGAAUCCUGCAGCCAAAGAGGCAAUUUCUGCUUAUGAAAUCCCCCUAAAACCUAAGGCACAUCAACUCUGGAGUAAGACUUGCCAGCUCAGUAUUCAAAGGACUCCUCUGCUUGCAGUAUUGACCGUGCAAAUAUUUGUAGAUGUUUACAACAGCACUGCUUAUUCUCCUUCAGCUUUCCUGAGGCAGCUAGAUUUUCCCAAAGCCCCCUGAGAAACUGAACAGACUUCUUGAGCGUAUAAGAGCUCACAGGACCAGCAGCGACUGCCAUGUUUCUCUCCUCCUUAUAGACUCCCUAGUCAUUGUUAUGAAGCCCCAAAUGCCCUUAGUUCAUCCAUAGAUUUUAAAGACGUUCUUCAUGGUGAUUAAAGGAACCAAGUGCCCAAUGUCUGCUUUCCUCAGGAGCUCAAGUGCUAAGACAAUGGAAUAGCAAGCCAAAUGAGGUGGUGACUUCAGGCAAGUGUGUAGCUUUUACUCUGUGAUGAAGGUAAUCAAAGAAACAAACUCUGCUUCCCUACAGUCCACCAAAACAUCCCGAAAACAUCCUCCUAGCCAGUUGAAAAAUGAGUCAGCUAAAGGGCUCCAAAACAAUUAAAUUAAUUGAAAACACAUUUCAUAAGAGAAAUCAAAUAGAUUAUUUGAGGUCACAGAGCAUCUGCUAAUGAAUGUUUGCCUCAGCAUUUGCAGCUUUACUUUGCCUCCCCAGUGGCAGCGUUUCUGAAAUCCACUCAUUUCUCCUUUGUGUGUAAAUUCUGAGAAUGUGUGUUUCUAGUUAUGGCUCCGAAAGACCAGUAUUUACCACCUUCACAAUUUCUGUCAUGUGUGCCAUAGCAUCAGGGUUUAGUGAAGGAAAGAGAAACUACUCUAGGUAUUUCUAGCAGAAGGUGAUUUAAUACAGGGAAAUGCUUACAAAAUGGUGAGAAGAAUGGAAGUCAGAGGCAUGAACAGAAUUUUGGUUUCAGUGUGAAAGUCGAAACACUGGUUAUCACAUUUUCCACUCCUGCUGCCUCCAUAACCACCUCACUUGCAUGAGGCUGUUGACUAGAUAGUAGAACACAGAGUCUGACUCUUGCGUGCAUUCAGUCUCUCAAAGCUUAGUAAUCAGGUUCCUCUACUGCAGCGAAACUGCCUCUACUUUAUUUCUGCGUUACAAAACAGGCAACUGCAUCUAGUUGGCACAAUAGAAUUCCUACCCAGAACCCUAACAGCAAGGGUGUCUAGAAAGUGUAAUUUUAAGACUUCCAACCUCUCAGAAAGAAAAGAGGAGGCUGAGAGAACUAAUCUAAGAAUAUGCCACUUGUACUCACUUUACAAAUUAAAGUUAUUUUAAAAGAAGACUUUGUAUUUAUACUGCAAAUGAAAAUCCAGAAUCAUUUGCCACUAACAGAAGGUAUUUGUCAAAGUAAAUGCAAGGAAAUUUUUUGCCUUGAGUUUCUCAAAGAUAUUUUUCCUCCCUUAUAAUUAUGAUAGAGUAAUUAUGAAAAGGCUCUUCUCCCAGGUUCUCCCCAAACUGCACUAUUUCCCCAUGCAAUCCCCAUCUAUCCACUUUGUGUGAGCCAAAAGCCAAUAUUUGCAAUUAAAUUAUAGUUCAUGUCUGAAUUAAAGCAGACUUCUAUGCCAGUCAUAUUCAAGCUUUUUUUUUUCCCCCCUGGUGGAGGUAUGGAGAGGACCACUUCUUGGUCCCAACAGCAGUGCACAUCAAUGCACUUUGCUCAAUGCUUUAUUAGGUUAUAAGCACCUUGAAGGUGCUUUGAUCUCCUUUGUCUUAAAUUCUAGGAUAGACCCCACGUUUCUUUUAUCCAACCUGGAGUUACAAAUCUAGGAAGGAAGACAAUCAGGAAAGAUGACUAUUUCAGGAAGUUUCAGAAAGUGAAACAAAGACCAACAAUCAGUUUAAAGCAAGACCUUGUUGCCUUUGUUUGGGGCAGGGGAAGGGGGAACCUGAGGUCACUCCUGCAGCCCUGGACAAGAGUUGUCCAUUUAACCCAACUCCUUUCCCCUUCAAAGCACCUUUCAAAGGUGCUUUUUGUCUAUCUUUCCUGUUACCAGCUGACCAAACACUUCUCCAACAUGAGGACCACAGCUUUCUCCUCUCUUUCUUCCACUUCGCCUUGGUCAACACACCCCUUAACCUUCCAUUCUCAACUCUUCUUUAAUUUUCCUUCAGGGCGGUUACCACUACCAGCUUCAGUACAUAUUGCUGUGUGCCUUUCAAAGAGCUUCAUGAUUGUCUAUUUUGUUCACAGCAGAAUCCACAGCAUCUAGAGCACUGCUUGUUAUGAACACUCAAUUCACAUUGGUUGAACAAGUAACAAAUGGGAGAAUGAGUAGUCAGCCUGCUUGGCUCAGCCAGGCCAACCCCAGAAAGAAUCCCAAACCCAGCUCAGCCUCACUUCGGACCUUAGUGUGUUUCACAGAAUGUCAAGUUGAUGGAAACUAUUUACAACGGAAUGCACUUCAAACUCCAGACCACCUGAAUCAAGUAUAGGCCUUCAUGUUGUUGUAAACUCAAUUUUGAGAUAAUGUUGGUAGUUUCCUCUUUUGUCUUAGAGGAUGAAGAAUUGGGUUGAGCGUUGACUCCACCAUCUCCUGGAUGGCAAAUCACUUUCAUUCUCUGAGCCUCAGUUUCCUCACUUGUACAAUGGGGAGGAUUUAUUUUUUGCUUAAUUCACCGCUUGUUGCAUGGAUCAUAUGAAAUGAGAUACUAAUCCACAUAUUUCAUCAUCUAAGAAGUAGUUUUAUGAGUGCCUACUAUGUGCGAGGCCCUUAAAUAUCAUAUUCUCAGUGUGGUUGUUUCUAACUGCCUUGGGGAAGGUUUCAGCCUUCCUCCUCAGAACUGCCGAUCCUCCUCUCUGCUUCAUUUUUCUCACCUAAGUUUGAGUCUAACUUAAUCCAUUUUCUAACUUAAUAUGUCUUUUAUUGAUUUGUAUUAUUUAAUAUAGGUAUCUAUUUCAUUUUGUACUAUGUGUCUCCCCCUACUAGGCUUUAAGCUCCAUGAGAGGGAUGAUUUUAUUGUUGUCAUUGUUAUUGUCUUUGCAGGGUCUGGCCCAUAGUGGGCACUUAAUAAAUAAUGUUGAAUGAAUAAAUAAAUGCCCCAUGCUCAGAGCACAAGGGCUAAGAUAAACCAGGCUACCAUAUAAAACUCAAAUUUAUUCUUUAUUAGAGAAAACUUGCUGAAGAAUGUGUGUUCUGUACAGAUGGCUUCUACAGAAGGGCUGGAGUUGGGCUGAAGGAACAAUUAGGAGGCCAGUACAUAAUUCAGGAAAGAUAUGACAAAGUGACUGAACUCAGACAGUGUCUGUGAGUGAAGGAAAGGGACAAUUAGAAAAUAUUGAGAAUAUAGAAUUGCAGGGCUUGGUGGCUACUUAGAUGUGAGAUGUGGUGGGAAAAGUAAAAUCUACAUUGACUCCCUGGUUUCUGGAUUGGGAAGCUGGAGGAUGAUGAUGCUCACUGAGAUGGAGAUACUGGAGAAGGAAAAGGUUGUUUGAAGGGCAAGCAUGGGGAGAGAAUUCAUUAUCAGGUGCCUGUGGACCAACAGAUGUUCACCAGGAGGUUGAGUAUACAGCUCUGGGUUUAGCAGAGAAAUUUAGGCUGGGGAUAAAGAUUUGAGAGUCAUAAUCCUAGGCUCUCAGGACAGCACUCAGAGUAAGGAGAGGGGAAGGCCAAGGGGAACACCAUAAUUUGGGAUAAAUGCAGGAAAAGGGGAGCUGCAAAGAGAACUAAGAGCAAUCACAAAAGCAAGAGGAAACCAGGGGAGGUUUUUCAAAGGAGGAGCCAACAGCAUCAGCUGUCAGAAAAAUACCAAGCAGCACAAAGAAUGAAAAAUUUCCACUGGACUUAGCACAUGGAGGGCCAGGGGACAGAACAGACAUUCUAACAGGAAGGUGGAAGAUCUUAACUUGUAUUCUCAUCCCACCUCUCCACAGAUAGGACCACUGGGGAGUGCCCCAUGAUUCUCAAAAAUGAGCCUUUUGCCUGUUCCAUCUGAGACCCAGAGUUCUGCACCAUGGAUGAUGGAAAAGCCUUUCAUUUACUUAAAAUCCAAGACUGCUAUGGUCUCCUUCAGGUCAAAUACCCACAAUUCUUUUAUUUUAUUAACAUACAUGAUGUGCUGGAAAGUUCUGAGAUUGGGAGUCAGAAAACCUGGGCUGAUCUGUUAUGAUCUGUUAUGGCUAAAGGGUGACCUUGAACAACAUAUGGAUUUUUCUUCCAGUUCAGUUUUCCUCAUCUGUAAAAUUAUGGGGCUGGUCUCCAUCAGGUCUCUGGGAAGGUGUAUCAGCAGUAUUAGAGCGAUCUUUUAGCUUUAACAUUUAUGAACUAAUGAAAUCCACAGUAGAUACUUAAUAAGAUCCUACAAGUAUCCAAUUUCUAUUCCAUUCCAAUAAUAAUUCUGUUGCUGGACCCAUUCCAGUUCUUCCAUAUAUUCUUUGAAGCACAUAGAAGCCUAAACCGUAUAUAGCUCUCUAAUAUGGUCAUGACUAAAGCAGCAGAGUACAUGAGAAGGUGGAACAAAAUACAGACUUUAUACAUCUGUCAUAGGCUGCUGGCUGUUGUCAAGCUGCUAGUGACUUAUUCUGGUUGCAAAGAAGCAGGGCCAAAUAAUUUGCUUAGAAACUUACUGUUCCCUUUAAAAGUAAUUAACCCAAAUUAAGACAAUAUUCACCAAGGGUCCUGAAAACAAAACAAAACAAUAAAACCUCCAGUCUAUUGAUUUAAUAGUAAGAUUUCUUAAAGGUAGCCAAGAAAGUGUGUAUUUUUCCAACUAAAAUUUUAAGAUAUUUUGCAAAUGUGACUCAAAUGCCAGUGAUACUUCCCCCUCAUUGUCUCUUAAAGAAAUGGAGCCAGUGAGAACUGAAGAAUCAUGGUGGUAUUGAAAAUGUGGUCUUUGAAAUUCAUGUGUGUAACUCCAGUAGAUUAUUGUCCAGCUUACCUCCACUCCUUCUCUCCAAACUCCUAAGGAAGUGUGUACUUCUUGCUCAACUGAUGUUGACCUUGACUAUGUGUCUUGCUUAAGCCAAUGGAAUGUGGGUAGAAGUGACAGUGGCACUGCUGCUUGAUGUCUUUCUGACAUCUGAUGCUGUUGGCUUCUCUCUCUUUGAAAUGGCAUCUUAGACCAAAGGAGACAGCACAUAUUUCUUCUAGUGCUUCUAGAAGCUUCUUCCUCUAUCACUUAUACUGCCUCAACACAAGGUUGACAUAAGGGAAGCCAUAUUGUAGAAAAGAAACCAUAUUGUAACUUUAAAUGACCUCUGAUUAACCAACCCAGACAUGCUCUGUAGAUUUUAUGGCUUCUGCCAUCUGAGAUAAGAUGAUAACUUUGUUCUUUUGAGUUCUCUGGGAAUGUGAUGACCGCCUGGCAGAGAGCCUAUGCUGAUAGCCAUCAUCAAUGACAACUGAAAGAUCAAGGUAGAGGGUGUUCUGAUCUCCGAUGCAUAUCCAGCAAAACAAAAGGACUAUCAGGAACUAAGACCAGAUGUCUGCCCCGAUCCAGAAACCAGCCCCCUCCUCCACCUGGAAACCAGCCCCCUGUAUAACUGGCCUGUAGCCUUUGUUCUGUAAGAUGGUUCUUUCAGACCUGAGUCAGCCAUCUUCCUUCUUGCUAGCAAGCUGUAAUAAACCCUUUCUCUCCUACCACCUUGCCUCCUGACUAUUGAAAUGUUUUGUGGGGAGCAGAUGACCCCCCUUGGGCAGUAAUAUCAUGAGAAGGGCUUCUCCCUAGUAGCUGCUUCCUUUUCAGACUAAUCUCAAAAUGAGAUUCAUGGAACAAAUUGCCCUAGUGAACCUAUAGCCUCAGAGUGGCCCCUGCCAACUUGUAGACCCUGAAGCAUAGGAAUAAAUGAUUGUCGUUUUAAAUCACUGCAUUCCACAUUGGUAUGUUAUGCAAUAUGAUUGUGUCAAUAGUUAACUGAGAUAGCAUCAUUUGGCAUAACAGCCUUUCUUGUGGAUUCAAUGCCCAUUGAGAUCCCUGGUCUCUGUAACUACUCUAUUUAGGGCCUAAUUGGCUUGGAUCAGGAAUCAAGACAGAACUAUACUUAGAGAAAAAUUAGUUUACAAUGUUUUAAAGCUCAGAAGUCAAUUUUACCUCUCUAAUGGUUGACCAUUUUUAAGAUCUACAUCUCAACCAAAGGCAAUUGUGUCUCCUAGGGAUAUUUAGCAAUGCUUGGAUACAUUUUGAUUGUCAUGACUCAGGGUGGGGGAGCUACCGGCAUCUAGUGGGUAGAGGCCAGGGAUGCUGCUAAACCUCCUACAAUGCACAGCUCUUCACAACCAAGAAUUAUCCAGUCCCAAAUGUCAACAGUGUCAAGGUUGAGAAACUCUGGCCUAACUAUAUAUUUCUUUCUCUCAGGGCAUAUCAAAUUUUAUCUUUGGGCAGCACAGCAUUAAAACUGAUAUCUUUCUUUAGGAACAAGUAGGAAAACUUGGCCAAGUAUAUAUCACUCCAGAUAGACUCCUGAGGAGACACCAGAAUUCUUCUAUUGUGUAUUAACCCAUUGAAAAAGGUAAGCAAAAGUAAUUGUUCACUCACAAAAGGUUUAAAAAUCUUUAAUUGGACUUAAAUGUCUCACUGAGGCUUUUCUUUUUCACCAGCACCUCAGGAAAAUUCUGUAUCACUCAGCUAUCAGACGCCUUGUGAUGUAGCUAAUCAUUUACUCUGUCAUCCAUUCAAGUUAUUUAUGGAGCAUCUACCACGUGCCAGGCACUCAGGAUUUCUCAUUCCCAAGAUGUCAGGUCUAGGUUUGUCUUUGUUUUCUUUUGAUUCAAACUGAGUACAUAAGAGUGCAUGGAAGUUCACAUUUGUUUUAAGGCACCCCAAUAGUGAACAUAAUCUUUCUAUUCACCUUGCACCUUUGAAUAUCCCUUCCUGUAUUAUGUGUUUUGAAAGGAGGUAGAGACUGCCUCUCACUAGAGAUGUAUGAGCUGAAUUUUCUCACCUUCCCUUAUAGACAACUAGCUACAACUGUGUAGAACUUGGUGACAGCCACUUGGAUCUAGGUGAUGGCUAGAGGUAGGUGCAAAUGUUUUUGUGGUAGGAGUAUAAGCGCAGCUUCACUUUACAGGCAUAUUCCUCAAUGUAUUUUAUGUUAGUAUUAUAGGGGAGGAAGACAUUUCCUCUACCCGCUCUGGGUCCUUCUGGCUGGACAAUGAAUUAAAUUCACAUGAGACAGAAUAACAGGAGAAAAUCAAACAAAGCUUUAUAACGUGUAUACAUGGGAGAGACUCAGACAAAGUGAUUCACUCCCAAAAAUGGUGGAGGUUCUCAUCUUAAACACCAUCCUCAGCUAAAAACAAAGGAGGAUGUUGGGGGUGAGGGGAGUCAGUUAUGGGAGAUUACCAGAAAAGCACAGUAAACAAGAGUAAGGUUAUUAGGCAGAUUUAAGUCCUUGCCUUCCACAUUGAUGAAGAGUUUCUAGAGAUAAGGUCAUCUCCCUUCCUCCUGGUACAGAGAGGGAAACACCUUUACAGAUGGAGAUUUCCUUUACAAAUGUAUAUGUCUCUUUACAAAGGGUUAAAUUCUACUUUUCAGAGUUUCUUUCAUGUCUGCAGUUUUUAAAAGUAACCAGCCCAAAAUAAUCCUCCUGCCAAAGAGACGUAUCUUGGGGUAGCCAAUUCCAGUCCCCCACAGUAUUGUAUUUUAUAAGCAAAUAUUCCAUAUGCUUUGUUAGUAAGAGCCAGAAGAAUCUGAUACCACUAGGUGAAUGAUGAUGCUAUUUAAGCUGAAGAACAAUGGUGAACAGCAAGAGAGAACAUACUAGGUUGAACCUGAAACUGCUGGGCAAGAGCCUUUUAUCCAUCUGGAACAGAAAGAGUUUUCUGGCAGAUCCACAGGCCCAGUUGGGUCCUCAAAAAUGUCUAACCUGGUGAAAAUGUCGCCACCUCCCACUGUAGGUUCGAGGAGAGGGAUUGGCCAGGGCAGCUUCUGGUCAAGAAAGCUCUUGCUUCACCCCUCUCUUAGUUCUGCCCCUUUGAAGCCAUGGUAAGUGACGUCCCAAUGAGCCAGGGUGUGGAGAGCCUAGGAUAGGAGCAGGAAGAUGGACAAUGCACGAGUGUAGUACUUCCCUGGCCACAACAUACUGAAAUGUCCAUAUUGUUUGCUAAUUCAAUUGUGCUAUUUUGGAUUCAACCCCAAUAUCUCCUUCAGAUAAUGCUUUUGUCUGUACCCAGCCACAGAAAGAGUAGAAGGCGACUAGCAGGAAAACAAUGAUCUGACGCAUAGAGAGAAAAUGGCUGAUGUCCUCCUUUGUGAUGUCUUAUCUAAUCCUUACAAAAACUUUGUGAGAAGACUUGGUUUCUACUUUGCAGGUAAGAAAACUGAGGAAACUAACUUGAAUUCUAAUUCAGGUGCCUCUGAUUUUCAAGUCCGUAUUGUUUUUCAUUAACUACAAAAGCCAAUGUUGACUUCCUUUUAUGAUCUGUCAAUAUUCAGAGCAGUACAAUUUUUGUCAUGGAAAAACCCAAGCCCUACCCAGAGGGAGGAAGCAGGGAACAUAAAUUCAGCCCCUUUGAUGGAAGGGUGACAUUGCACGCGGUUUCAAAUCACCUGGAGAAGCAAGGAAUCUACUCUGAGUUUGCAGAUUUGAUUUCAAGAGCUCCAGGUAUGGGAUCCAUCAUGUGAGGGUCAAUAUGGCAGCCCAGGGACAGAUUAGGACCAGGUGACUGCCAAGCUGUUCACUGUCCCCUUGUUACCCACCUCCUACACUCACCCGAGCACGGUGCAGCCAGAAGUUCAGAGGCAAAGGUGGCCUCCUGCCCUCUGACUUUUGCCCUCUGCCUCUCUCUCUGGGCUUUUUGACACCAUGUUGGUGGCAACCAUUGGCCACCUGCUUACAGGCACAAGUCAUUUGAACUAAUAAAAUAAAAGAUAACUCUGAUAAGAGCCAGCUGUUGAAUUUUCACAGGUCUUGGCUUUUUUUCGAGAAAACGUGGUUUCUUCAAAGAGUCAAAUGGAGUCUGGCAGUCACGUGUGUGGACUCUGGAACCAUAUUGCUCAAAUCCUGGCUCUUCUAUUUACUUGGUGUGUGACCCUAGGGAUGUUACCUCACCUCUUCAAUGCCUCCGUUUCCUCAUCUGUAAAACAGACUCAUUUAUUCGUUCCAUACAUUUGUUCUGCCAUGUAUGACAACCUUGAUUCCAGAUGCUGGGGAGGGAGCACUGAGCAAAACCCACCAAGUCCUUCUGUUCUCGUAGAGGAGACAAAUGAUAAACAGAUCCAUCUUUAACAUAAUUUUAGAUAGUGUUAAAUGCUAUAAAGUCAAAUAAAGUAGGGUAAUAGAUGGAGAGAUGGGGAAAGGGAUGGCUAUAUUAUAAAGGGCACAGAGGGAAGGCUCUUGGAGGAGAUAAAACACUGAGAAGAACAGAAUAGUGUGAAGAGAGGGACCCACACAGUACCUGAGGCAAGAAUGAGUAUUCCAAGCAGGGGGAGUGGGAAUGUAAAACAAACAUAACAAUGGUACCCACCUUACUGGAGCCCUACAGUGGGAGUUGCAUGGGUGAUAUAUAUAAAAUGGGACCAUAGAAACUGCCCUGUGAAGGUUAGCUCUGCAUGCAUCACAGAAUCUCAGACUUGAAGAAUGAUAAAGUUCUACUCCAACCUUUCCCUUGUGAUGCGGGUGUCUCCUAAAACAGUCACGGAGCUUCAGCUUAUGUGCCUGUCAUGAUGAGGAGCUCCUACUUCAGGAAGCAGGACCUUGUCUCAGUUGCUGGGUGGCUUUUCUUUGUGAGGAAGUGCCUCCUUCCACUGACCUUACAUCCUACCCACAGGAAACACAAAACCUACUUGCUGCGUCUUUCACACGACAACAUCUCCAACAUAGGAGAUAACUUUCAUCUCAGCUCCAUCAGUUCCUUCAACCAUUCCUUACCUGUAUGGCUUCCAGAUUUCUCACCCUUUCAUGUGAUCAUUUCAAAAACGCGGCACAAUAGGCUCAGUCCCUGAAAGACGAGAGCAAAAUGGUGAGAUUCAUGUUUGAAGCUCGAACUCCCCACUCAGAAGCUCUUUCCUAAAAGCGGACUCCCUAGAUAAAGAGGAGUCUGUCUACUCUUCUCAGUGUGUGCCUGCCCCUUUCUGCCGUCUUGCUCAGGCAUAACCCUGGCCUGCCCCAAUUUGCGAGCAUAUCUAUGGUAAUGAUUAAGAGAAUAGUUGACUGACCAGUGCUUCCAGUUUCCUGGAGACUGCAGUGCAGAAGAGAGAAGAGAGGGCAGGAGGUGAUGGGGUAGCCGUGAGUGGUGGUGGGUUCAGGACAGAUGUUAUGGCCAUUGUAUCUAUUAAGCAUUAGAUCAACAGAGUUAGACUAGAGCUGACGCAUCAAAAAUCUAGGGUUCAUUUCCUGUGAACCAGCCAGCUGGGUCUUGCUACCCAGCCUUAGCCCAGCUGCCUCACAAAACAAGCCAUGAUUGCAGGUGUUAGAAGGUAUAGACGACCCAGCACUAACCCAUCCCUGCUGCUAGAAAACAAUUCCGAGAACUCUGCCUGAUGGUAGAUGACUCAGCCAUAUUGUCUUUAGAGCUUACCUUCAUUAGAACAGAUUCUCCUUGGCAUGACUUCUGAAAUGAUGGGCAGGUUUUAUCUCUAUGGAGCCCAGGCCUGAAUUUUAAGCAGUGAUGUUGUGAAGUUCUGUAUCAUCUUUUUCUGAUUAAAUUAUUGGAUAAACAUAGAUAUUUUGGGCCAGUAGGUAGAAACAGGAGAUAACAGUAAAGACAAUCACGUUUUGAUCUGUUUAUUCAUUUGUUUCAGUUUUUAUAUUUGGAACAAAAAUCUUAAUUCUUCAACUGAAUGUAGGAAGGGCGAGUGUGAGAAAAAUUGAGGCACCCACUCAGGCUGAUCCAAUGCUAAGCACUAGUCACGGUGCAAACAGCUUCUAAUCGCAACUUCACAGUGAUUUAUCUGCUCUCCCGGGCUGGCUUGAUAAAGCAGCCAUCCAAGUGAUGUUCAUAUGAUGCCACUCCAGGACUCAAUUUGCUGGGAGCUGCCAAUUGGCUGAGUAAUGCUGGCAAAUAAUGAGCCAGUUUCUCAUUGGUUAUCUGUUUAACUGACAGACAGGUCGGGCAAGGCCAUGAAUCUUGUGUGGGCCAGUCCGUUCCAGGACACCAGGCCAUCUGACCUUGAAGCUGUCCAAACUGGCCACAGCAUGGCUUGAUGAACUGAGUGUAGGUCUGCGCCAAGGAUCCAAACCUGAGAACCCCAGGCUGCCAAAGCGAAGCACAAGAACUUAAACAAUACCCUACCAGGCCAGCCCCCAAAACCUAGUGAUUCUUGAGAGACAGACUCCUGAAUCAAUAUUUUUUGACCACCAAGCUGCAUGCUAAUCUCUCUCUCCCCCAAACUCCUACAACUCAACCGUCUAGAUCAAUGGGUUUCAAAUUUUACUGUCCUUGGAAUCCCCUGGGGAUUCAGUUAAAACACAGGUGCUUAUCCAGCAGAUCUGGGGUGGGGCCUGAGACUCUGCAUCUGUCACAAGCUGUCGGCAAAUCCACACUUCUGUAGCAAGGAUCCAUUUCUUUGACAAUAGAAACGGGCUGUCUGUGACCUUGCUCCUUUCUCCAGAUGUAUCUGAAGCUUCUUGAUGGCUGUAUACUCUUUUUUUCCCCUUCCUAGAACCACACACAGUGCUAUAUGAGCAGGCAAUGCUAAUAAAUAUUUGUAGAAUAAAGAAACUCCUGUAUAGUAG
ensembl:lncRNA